rnacentral:rRNA from 1 species
GUUGAUCAUGGCUCAGGAUGAACGCUGGCGGCGUGCCUAAUACAUGCAAGUCGAACGAGAGUGCUUGCACUCGAGUGGCGAACGGGUGAGUAACACGUAGGUAACCUGCCUUACAGUUUGGGAUACCCUGGCGAAAGCUAGGCUAAUACCGAAUAAUUGGAUUGGAGGCAUCUCCGAUCUCUAAAAGGGGCCUUUAAAGCCUCGCUGAAUGAUGGACCUGCGGCGCAUUAGCUAGUUGGUGAGAUAACAGCCCACCAAGGCGAGGAUGCGUAGCCGACCUGAGAGGGUGAACGGCCACACUGGAACUGAGACACGGUCCAGACUCCUACGGGAGGCAGCAGUAGGGAGUUUUCGGCAAUGGGGGCAACCCUGACCGAGCAACGCCGCGUGAAUGAUGAAGGUCUUCGGAUUGUAAAGUUCUGUUAUAAGGGAAAAAUGAUAUGGUGAGGAAAUGCUCCAUAUUUGAUGGUACCUUAUUAGAAAGCCACGGCUAACUACGUGCCAGCCGCCGC